rnacentral:rRNA from 1 species
UACGAAGGGGGCUAGCGUUGCUCGGAAUCACUGGGCGUAAAGCGCACGUAGGCGGCUUCUAAGUCAGGGGUGAAAUCCUGGAGCUCAACUCCAGAACUGCCUUUGAUACUGGAGAGCUAGAGUCCGGAAGAGGUGAGUGGAACUGCGAGUGUAGAGGUGAAAUUCGUAGAUAUUCGCAAGAACACCAGUGGCGAAGGCGGACUCACUGGUCCGGUACUGACGCUGAGGUGCGAAAGCGUGGGGAGCAACAGG